rnacentral:rRNA from 1 species
UUCCCCUAGUAACGGCGAGUGAAGCGGGAAGAGCUCAAAUUUAAAAUCUGGCAAUCUUUGGUUGUCCGAAUUGUAAUCUAGAGAAGCGUUUUCCGUGCUGGACUGUGUACAAGUUUCCUGGAUACGGAACAUCAUAGAGGGUGAGAAUCCCGUCCUUGACACAGACUCCCAGCACUUUUGUGAUGCGCUCUCGACGAGUCGAGUUGUUUGGGAUUGCAGCUCAAAAUGGGAGGUAAAUUCCUUCUAAAGCUAAAUAUUGGCGAGAGACCGAUAGCGAACAAGUACCGUGAGGGAAAGAUGAAAAGCACUUUGGAAAGAGAGUUAAACAGUACGUGAAAUUGUUAAAAGGGAAACGCUUGAAGUCAGUCACGUUUGCUUGGACUCAGCCUUACUUCGGUUUGGUGCAUUUCCUUGCAGACGGGCCAGCGUCCAUGUCAAUUGCCGGAAAAGGGGUGAGAGAAUGUGGCUCCUUUGGGAGUGUUAUAGCUCUCACUCGUAUGCGGGGAAUGAUAUGGAGUGGUACAGCACACUUCGGUGGUGCUUGUGCUGGCAUAAUGGCUUUAAACGACCCGUCUUGAAACACGGACCAAGGAGUCUAACAUGUCUGCGAGUAUUUGGGUGGAAAACCCAGGUGCGUAAUGAAAGUGACAGCUGGGAACCCCUUCUGGGAGGCACCGGCACCCCGAGCUGACCUUCUGUGACGCAUCGGAGGCAGAGCAUAUAUGUUGGGACCCGAAAGAUGGUGAACUAUGCCUGAAUAGGGCGAAGCCAGAGGAAACUCUGGUGGAGGCUCGUAGCGAUUCUGACGUGCAAAUCGAUCGUCAAAUUUGGGUAUAGGGGCGAAAGACUAAUCGAACCAU